rnacentral:rRNA from 1 species
UGGGGAAUAUUGCACAAUGGGCGCAAGCCUGAUGCAGCCAUGCCGCGUGUAUGAAGAAGGCCUUCGGGUUGUAAAGUACUUUCAGCGGGGAGGAAGGCGAUAAGGUUAAUAACCUUGUCGAUUGACGUUACCCGCAGAAGAAGCACCGGCUAACUCCGUGCCAGCAGCCGCGGUAAUACGGAGGGUGCAAGCGUUAAUCGGACUUACUGGGCGUAAAGCGCACGCAGGCGGUCUGUCAAGUCGGAUGUGAAAUCCCCGGGCUCAACCUGGGAACUGCAUUCGAAACUGGCAGGCUAGAGUCUUGUAGAGGGGGGUAGAAUUCCAGGUGUAGCGGUGAAAUGCGUAGAGAUCUGGAGGAAUACCGGUGGCGAAGGCGGCCCCCUGGACAAAGACUGACGCUCAGGUGCGAAAGCGUGGGGAGCAAACA